rnacentral:lncRNA from 1 species
GGAGCUUUUUAUAUUCUAGGGAGAGAUGCAUUCUCUCUCACAAUGAAUCAGGGACACGAUCUGACUCCUAUAAGGGCCAUAUUCAAAAAGUGGUGAUUGCAUCCUUUGAAAGCCUGUUUGCAUAGCAGACAAUGAAGCUGAGCAGAGAAAAACAAGAUGAGAGACAGAUGGAGUAGGAGACCUGAGAAGAUGGCUUGAGUCCAUGAAUUCUGGUGUUCCCUAGGCCACAUUUGCCCCCAUCCUUCCCAGGUGAGAGAACCUUUGUGGGAGCGCAGAAGUCCAGCAGAGAGACCCUAGCACUUUAUUUGGACCAAAAAAUAAAUAAUAAAUAAAUAAAUAAAUAAAUCCAAAACUAGAUGCAUUAAAGAAGGUAAGAACAGUUUUACUUUACCUGUGUCACCCCUCCCCCAGUGUGGCACAGAUCAGUGCCAAGAGAGACCGCUUCAGCCCAGUUUCUUCCACAGGGGAAAAUGAGAACAGUGAGUGCCUAAUUUCCUCAGCUGUAGGAUGCUGUAGAAGAGACCCACUUCUGCCUCACCCAUUUGAGAACCCUGAGGGAAUCAGUAUGGCUGAAUAAUCUGGGGGUAGCUAGGAGCAGGGAAAAGGGGCAGCACUCACAGCAACCUGAGUAUGGAAUUCAGCAAAGAGCCACAGUUUCUAUUAACUACCUCCCAAAUUCCAUCAAGAGGGCCAGCCACAAACUACAUAGGAUGCAUAAUCUGCAGAUCCCCUGACUAGCCCAUGUGUGCUUCCAACCUUCUGCAUGCCCUUCCCCCAUGUAGCUGGCACCCUGAAUGCACCCCCAUGGAUAGCAUGUACAAGCUUCUGCAGAUUGUGCAUGAGAACAUGAAGAUAACUAACUUGAUUCAGGAUUGGAAGGAAGUGACUAAUCUUGAAUUUUUCAAGGCACUUCCUAGGGAAGAUAAACAGGAGGCUUACAUUGCACCUGGCCUGACUUUUGCAAGAUCAAGAGAAGGAAUAUGCUGUAAUUUGAAUGAAAAUUUAACAUUUAAAAUUUAUGUUGAAGCUGAAUACUCAAUGCAAUAGUACUAAGAAGUCUAACCUUUGGGAGGUGAUUAAGUCAUGAUGACUCUUCUCACUUGAAUGGGAUGAGCACUCAUAAAAGAUGUCAAGGUUUAUGGGAGUUCUCUUUUGCCCUUCCAUCCCUUCUGCCAGGUUAGACUUCUCCUAUGGAGAAUGCAGCAAGAAAAUACCAUCUUGAAGCAGAGAGCAGCGCUCAUCAGGCAUCAGUCCUUCUGGAGCCUUGAUCUUGGACCUCCCAGCUCCAAAAUAAUAAGUAAUAAAUUGUUAUUGCUUAUAAAUU